rnacentral:tRNA from 1 species
GGGCCCGUGGCCUAGCACGGACAUGGCGCCGGCCUCCUAAGCCGGGGGUCGUGGGUUCGAGUCCCACCGGGCCCG